UACGAAGGGGGCUAGCGUUGCUCGGAAUCACUGGGCGUAAAGGGUGCGUAGGCGGGUCUUUAAGUCAGGGGUGAAAUCCUGGAGCUCCAACCUCCAGAACUGCCUUUGAUUACUGAAGAUCUUGAGUUCGGGAGAGGUGAGUGGAACUGCGAGUGGUAGAGGUGAAAUUCGUAGAUAUUCGCAAAGAACACCAGUGGCGAAGGCGGCUCACUGGCCCGGUACUGACGCUGAGGUG
rnacentral:rRNA from 1 species